rnacentral:rRNA from 1 species
UGAGGAAUUUUCCGCAAUGGAUGAAAAUCUGACGGAGCAAGACCGCGUGGUGGAAGACGGCCUGUGGGUUGUAAACACCUUUUCUCUAAGAAGACAACCGACGGUAAUAGAGGAAUCAGCAUCGGCUAACUUUGUGCCAGCAGCCGCGGUAAGACAAAGGAUGCAAGCGUUAUCCGGAUUGACUGGGCGUAAAGGGUUCGUAGGUGGAUUUCUAAGUCUUUUGUUAAAACUAAGCCUAACUUUAGUCUGGCAUAAGAAACUUGAAGUCUUGAGUACGGUAGAGGCAGUGGGAAUUUCCGGUGUAGUGGUGAAAUGCGUAGAGCUUGGGAAGAACACCAGAAGCGAAAGCG